UAGUUUAGGACCCAGCAGACAGUGGCAGGCGGCAGUUGUGUAGAUCCCUGAGAGACUAAGAGGGUCCAGUCCAGUUUUAAUUCUGUCUCUAAUCUCUGCCACAGCAGUGCUUUCCCCAACAGCCCCAGCUCGGGCUCGGGCGUUGCUCUCUCCAGCCUGAUCCCCGGCAAAAUACAUGUCACUGGCUUCCUCCCAGUGGAAACCCUAGAGGGAAAAGUGGCCCCAGAUGCGCAAGCCUGAGGAUUCGGUACAAAGAGGUGCACAAAAUGAAGACCCCGAUGCGCCAUGGGCUGGCGGUGUGUUUAGUGCUCACCACCAUGUGCACCAGCUUGUUGCUCAUGUACAGCAGCAUCGGCGGCGGGGGCCAGAAAGAGCCGAGCCAGCAGCAGCAGCAGCAGGUGGCGGCGGCGGCGGCGGCCAGUGGGAAGCCGGGGAGCAAGCAGCUGGGCACCAGCCCGCAGGGCCCCAGGCUCCCUGUGGGGGCUGGGCUCCUGGAGGGCUACAUCAGCGUCCUGGACCACAAGCCUUUGAAAAUGCAUUGCAAGAGUUGUGCACUGGUAACCAGUUCUGGACACCUCUUGGGAAGCAAACAAGGCAACAGAAUUGACCAGACUGAGUGUGUAAUACGAAUGAACGACGCACCCACUCGAGGUUAUGGAAAAGAUGUUGGAAACAAAACUAGCCUUCGAGUCAUUGCACAUUCUAGUAUCCAGAGAAUUCUGCGAAACCGCAAUGAACUGUUAAAUAUGAGUCAAGGUACUGUGUUUAUCUUCUGGGGUCCCAGCAGCUAUAUGAGAAGAGAUGGAAAAGGUUUGGUUUAUAAUAAUCUGCAAUUGAUGAAUCAGAUACUACCUCAAUUAAAAGUAUAUAUGGUUUCUCGGCACAAGAUGCUUCAAUUUGAUGACCUCUUCAAACGGGAAACUGGCAAAGACAGGAAGAUAUCCAACACUUGGCUUAGCACAGGAUGGUUCACAAUGACUAUCGCAUUAGAACUCUGUGACAGGAUAAAUGUUUAUGGCAUGGUGCCACCAGAUUUCUGCAGUUUUAGGCUCCAGACCUGGCUGAAGAGCAAGUGAUAAAAUGGAGAAUGCCAACUAAGUUUACAGUUUAGCAUGAACUGUAGUCUCUGGUCCCGAAGAGCAAAGAUCCAGGACAACAGUUGAGAAGAGAUGGAGUGCACCUGACCAAGAAGAGGAAGAGCACCACCUCAACAACACAAUGAGGAGGGCUUUAAACUAGGUUCAAAGAGGACAGGUGACAAAAGUCCACAGGUAAACAUUAACAAAGGCAACCUUAACAGAGGACUAGAUUUUUGGGGAAGGGGCAUAGAAAAUUACAUAGGGUCAGCAAAGAGCAUCAAGAGGGAUAUCACUGGGGGAAUCUGCUCAAGAUCUUAGAUAUCUAUACAUAAAUGGAAGGACUAUUGGGAAUAAAAAAGAAGUGGAAGUAUUAGUAGAUAAGCUAAAUUAUGACUUAACUGGCACCACAAAGACUUGGUGGGAUAAAACACAUAACUAGAAAAUUUCUAUAGAGGGGUAUGGCUUGUUUAGGAAGGACAGACAGGGAAAAAAGGAGGUGGUGUUGCAUUAUACAUCAAGAAUACAGACACAUGUUCUGCAAUCCAGAAAGAGGUGAGAGGCAGAUCAGUUGAAAAUCUCUGGGUAAAGGUAAAAGGGGAAAAAUAGGGUUAAAAAGUGAUGAAGGAUGCAUUUCUAGAACAAAUAAGAGAAGUAUCCAAACACAGGACCUGGUAGUAAUGGGGGACUUUCACUACCCAUACAUCUACUGGAAAAGUAAUAUGGCAAAACACAAAAUUUCCAGUAAAUCCUUGGAAUGCUCUGGGGACAAUUUUGUUUCAGAAAUGCAGUAACAAGGGACACAGCCACUUUAAAUUUGAUUCUGACCAACAGGGAGGAAUUGGUUGUAAACUUAAAGGUUAAAGGUAAAAAUUAACAUGAAAUGAUAAAUUCUAAGGAAAGGAAGGAGAAAGCAGCAAAAUAAGAACAAUGGACUUUGAAAAAAGCAGACUUUAACAAUCUCAGAGCACUAAUAAGUAAGGUCCCAUGGGAAGAAAAUGUAAGGGAUAAAUUUGUUCAGGACAGCUGGCAGUUUCUCAAAGAGACAACAUUAAAGGCACAACAGCAAGUUAUCCUGAUGUGAAAGAAAGACAGAAAGAAAGCCAGGCCAAUCUGGCUCUAUCAAGAGCUCUUUAAUUACCUGAAAAUCAAAAAGGAAUUCUACAAAAAAGUGGAAACAUGGACAAAUUGCUAAAGAUGAGUACAAAAGUAUAGUACAAGAAUGUAAGGACAAAAUCAGAAAGGCUAAGGCAAAAAAUGAGUUACAUCUAGCAAGGGAUGUAAAAAGCAAGAAGAAGUUCCAUAAAUUAGGAGCAAAGAAAGAUGAAGAAAAGUGUAGGUCCUCUACUUAGUGGGGAAGGAGAGCUAAUAACGUAUGACAUCAAGAAGGCUGAGGUGUUUAAUGCCUGUGCUACUUCAGUCUUCACUAAAAACAUUAACACUGAACAGAUACUCAACUCAAUUAAUGUUAACAAGAGAGAAGGAACAUAAGCCAAAACAGGGAAAGAACAGGUUAAAGAUACAUUAGAUAUAUUCAAGUUGGCAGGGCCUGAUGAAAUCAUCCUAAAGUAAUUAAGGA